rnacentral:rRNA from 1 species
AGCAGGCGCGAAGAUUCCGCAAUGCCCGAAAGGGCGACGGAGUGAACCCGAGUGCCACCCGCUGAGGGUGGCUGUUCCCCUGUGUAAAAAGCAGGGGGCAGGAAGGGGAGGGCAAGGCUGGUGGCAGCCGCCGCGGUAAAACCAGCUCCCCGAGGGGUUCCCACGCAUACUGGGCCUAAAGCGUCCGUAGCCGGCCCUGUAAGUCCGCAGUUAAAUCCGCCUGUAGACAGGCGGGCUGCUGCGGAUACUACAGGGCUAGGGAGCGGGAGGAGCCGGGGGUAUUCCCGGGGGAGCGGUAAAAUGCGUAGAUCCCGGGAGGACCACCAGUGGCGAAGGCGCCCGGCUUGAACGCGUCCGACGGUGAGGGACGAAAGCUGGGGGAGCAAACCGGAUUAGAUACCCGGGUAGUCCCAGCCGUAAACGAUGCCGGCUAGGUGCUGGCCAAGGUUUCGACCUUGGCCAGUGUCGAAGCGAAGGCAUUAAGCCGGCCGCCUGAGGAGUACGGCCGCAAGGCUGAAACUUGAAGGAAUUGACGGGGGGGCACCACAAGGGGUGAAUGCCUGCGGCUUAAUUGGACUCAACGCCGGGAAUCUUACCGGGGGCGACAGCAGGAUGAAGGUCAGGCUGAAGACCUUACCAGACGCGCUGAGGGGUGGUGCAUGGCCGUCGCCAGCUCGUGCCGUGAGGUGUCCUGUUAAGUCAGGCAACGAGCGAGACCCCCGCCCCUAGUUGCCAGCGGCCUCCUUCGGGAGGGACCGGGCAAACUAGGGGGACCGCCUCCGAAGAGGAGGAGGAAGGUGGGGGCUACGGCAGGUCAGUAUGCCCCUAAUCCCCCGGGCCGCACGCGGGCUGCAAUGGGCGGGACAGCGGGAUGCGACCCCGAGAGGGGGAGCUAAUCCCUCAAACCCGCUCGUAGUUGGGAUCGAGGGCUGCAACUCGCCCUCGUGAACCCGGAAUCCCUAGUAACCGCGGUUCUCCAUACCGCGGUGAAUACGUCCCUGCCCCUUGUACACACCGCCCGUCAACUCACCCGAGUGGAGCUGGGGCAAGGUUCCAGCUCCAAAAGAGCUGGAAUCGAGCCUUGGCUCCGCGAGGGGGGGUAAGUCGUAACAAGGUGGC